rnacentral:ncRNA from 1 species
CACCUGGUUGAUCCUGCCAGUAGUCAUAUGCUUGUCUCAAAGAUUAAGCCAUGCAUGUCUAAGUAUAAGCUUUAAACGGCGAAACUGCGAAUGGCUCAUUAAAACAGUUAUAGUUUAUUUGGUGAUCGAUUACUAUUUGGAUAACCGUAGUAAUUCUAGAGCUAAUACAUGCGUCAAGGCCCGACUUCGGAAGGGCUGCGUUUAUUAGAUACAGAACCAACCUAGGCUCCGCCUAGUCCUUGUUGGUGAUUCAUAAUAACCCGGCGAAUCGCACGGCUUGUCCGGCGAUGGACCAUUCAAGUUUCUGACCUAUCAGCUAUGGACGGUAGGGUAUUGGCCUACCGUGGCGUUGACGGGUAACGGGGAAUUAGGGUUCGAUUCCGGAGAGGGAGCCUGAGAAACGGCUACCACAUCUAAGGAAGGCAGCAGGCGCGCAAAUACC